rnacentral:rRNA from 1 species
AAAAUGGAUGGCGCUGAAGCGUCCUGCCUAUACCCGGCCGCCGGGGCAGAGGGAGGGCGAUCAUGUCGUCCUUCGCAAGGCCCCGGCGAGUAGGAGGGUCGCGGCGGAGUGCGCAGAAGGGUCUGGGCGUGAGCCUGCCUGGAGCCUCCGUCGGUGCAGAUCUUGGUGGUAGUAGCAAAUACUCCAGCGAGGCCCUGGAGGACUGAUGUGGAGAAGGGUUCCGUGUGAACAGCCGUUGCACACGGGUCAGUCGAUCCUAAGCCCUAGGAGAAAUCCGAUGUUGAUGGUCGCGGGAUGAAAGCAUUUUGUGUUAGUACACCCCGUCCGUCGGGCGAAAGGGAAUCCGUUUCCUAUUACGGAACCCGGUUGCGGAACCGCACUCACGAUCCUCGUAUUGACACGGUAACGUGAAGGACCCCAGAGACGCCGUCUGGAGCCCCGGGAAGAGUUUUCUUUUCUGCAUAAGCGUUCGGGUUCCAUGGAAUCCUCUCGCAGGGAGAUAUGGAAUGGAGCGCGAAGAGCACCGCAGUUGCUGCGGUGUCCGGGGAUUCCCGUCGGCCCUUGAAAAUCUGGGUGAGGG